AUUGAACGCUGGCGGCAUGCCUUACACAUGCAAGUCGAACGGCAGCACGGGAGCAAUCCUGGUGGCGAGUGGCGAACGGGUGAGUAAUAUAUCGGAACGUGCCCAGUCGUGGGGGAUAACGUAGCGAAAGCUACGCUAAUACCGCAUACUAUCUAUGGAUGAAAGCGGGGGAUCGCAAGACCUCGCGCGAUUGGAGCGGCCGAUAUCAGAUUAGGUAGUUGGUGAGGUAAAGGCUCACCAAGCCGACGAUCUGUAGCUGGUCUGAGAGGACGACCAGCCACACUGGGACUGAGACACGGCCCAGACUCCUACGGAGGCAGCAGUGGGGAAUUUUGGACAAUGGGCGCAAGCCCUGAUCCAGCAAUGCCGCGUGCGGGAUGAAGGCCUUCGGGUU
rnacentral:rRNA from 1 species